CCUGCUCCCUGUCCUUGCUGGGGGAAGGGGGCCUGGCUUCUCCCUGCAGCUGCCGACACCUGCAGAAGGUUCUGUCCUCAGAUAAACACAAAGUUAGCAUUGGGCUGCUCUGUGCAAUGAUCCUGAUGAUCCUGAAGGACCCCUUCCAACUGGCCAUAUUCUAUAGUUCUGUGAUUCUGAGAACUAAUAGGCUGCAGGAGGGCAGAAAUAGGUGACAAGAGGAAAGAAAUGAGGUUGAUCAGAGAAUGAAGUCACUGAGUUCCCAGCAUGUUGUAUUGUGCUUUUUGUUUUAUUAGUAGGUUUAUGGUUUGAUUUGUGAUUUGGUGGCUUUCCUUGGUGCUAUUUUCCUUUUUUUUCCGCCUUUCCCCAGCUAUUUCGUCAACUAGUUUCUAGUUUCUAUUUCUCCAAACUUUAGCCGCUUAUUGAAACCCCUUUUCCUCCCUUGGAAUGUUAUUGGUUCACUGCUGUUAUCUCCGCCUAGGAUUUUUACUCCCAACUCUCCUGAUUUGUUGAAAGUUGUGCCUUCCCCUGAGACCUGCCCACACUUAAAAGUCUUUGUUCGCCCCUUGAUCGGGGUCCCAGGAGAGGAAAAGGGGAAGUUUACCAUCAAAUAAAGUUUCCCUGGGACCCGUGUGCACUGCCUGUGUUUUAUAUUGUGCCGAAACAAUUGACAACUGGGAUUCAACGGAGCUCCAGGGGGAACCUGCCGCCCCCCUCUUGUCAUCAGCUAGCCGGGAAGCGGCAGUUUCGCGUUCCCAACGUGGGGCAAGAUAAGAUCAUUUACGAGCUCCUUUUAUGACUCUAAGAGGAGCCCAUCGGUGAAUUUUAUGGUUCUAUGGACUUUCUCCGCCCUUCCUUCUCACUCAGAAGCGGAGAAAGAAAGCUUGCAGAAGACUCAACUGAGUCAGGACUUUGCGCAGACAGCAGGAAAAAAGCUGCUGGGCUCCUGCAGCAAGGCAAGGUGCGUGCACUGGGACAAGCACACCAGGGACCCACAGUGGCCGCGCCCUCAGUCUUGGGAACAGGCUUUGGAGCACCGGGAACACCCAAGUCCCUGGAGGCAGCAAGCCGAGGAAGAGAAAGUCCCCAGUCUGUCAGCGAUCAGAACAUCAGUUUAAGCACACCCUGAUGAGAAGUGGAACUGCUGUGGUGGUCAACCAGCGUCACUCAUCCGUCAGAAGAGGGCUGGCUGGACGGAUAUCUCGUCUCCCAGGAAAAAUCGGCCAGAGACCUGGCACCAGUGGUUGUGUGUUAUAGAAAGAAGAAUGUUAUAACUACACCGAAGUCUACUAUGCUACACUUGAUCAUGACCAUUUUCUGAACUGAAUUUCCUUGAAGAGAGAAAACCUUCAAACUUGAGUUUCCCAACAGAAGAACAAGAAAACUGAAGUUUUGAAACAGAGAAGAAGAUCAGCCAAAUUGAUGUGAAGAACAUCUCAUUGCUUUGCUUUGUAUUAUGAAAUAAAUUGUACUUGUAUUAAUAAAAGAAAUGUUAAAUUGUUAAAAAAACAGUAACCAGGAGCCAGUUGGUUUUUAAUCAAUUUAAUACCAUACUUUCAAGUUUUAAAUCAUAAGUUUUGAGUCAAAAUGAAAAGAAAAUUUAUAUUUAUUUAACAUGAAAUAAAUUUGUUUGUUUUACACAUUGAACUCCUGGAAACUAUGAAACAUCUUUCUAUGGAACAUCCUUUUAUGAAAUGGUAAGCUUUCUAUGAAAUGUUAAAUUCUUUUUAAGUUUGUCACUUUUGAGUUUUUGUCUGACUAUUUAAAACAAUUUUUAAUUACCUUUUGAGCCCAAUUUUUACCAGCUAAUUAUUCAAAAAUUAAGAUAUUAUUUUGCAGUGAAUUGAAGAAAUGAAUAAAAUUAUAGUUAAAAUACAUAAUCAGUGAAAAACAAGACAAGUAUAAGCUACAUUAGACAUAUCCAAAAUUAUUUGAGUUUUUGAAAAAUUUUUAAAUUAUAAUUCAUUUUAUUUUACGUUUGUAAAAUUUUAUGAUUUAUUACACUAAUACCUUUUGUUCUUUUAGAUAAACUUUAAUGUCCUUUUUGUAUUUAAGAACGGGCAGAUGUUGUAUCGUGCUUUUUGGUUUAUUAGUAGGUUUAUGGUUUGAUUUGUGAUUUGGUGGUUUUCCUUGGUGCUGUUUUCCAUUUGUCUCCACCUUUUCCCAGUUAUUUCGUCAACUAGUUUCCAGUUUCUAUUUCUCCAAAUUUUAGCCGCUUAUUGAAACCGCUUUUCCUCCUUUGGAAUGUUAUUGGUUCACUGCUGUUAUCCCUGCUUAGGAUUUUUACUCCCAACUCUCCUGAUUUGUUGAAAGUUGUGCCUACCCGUGACCUCCCCCCGCAUAGAAGUCUUUGAUCGGGGUCUCAGGAGAGGAAAAGGGGAAGUUUACCAUCAAAUAAAGUUUCCCUGGAACCCG